rnacentral:rRNA from 1 species
GAUGAACGCUAGCGGCAGGCCUAAUACAUGCAAGCCGAACGGCAAGAACUUUAGCAAUAGAGUUCCUAGAGUGGCGUAAGGGUGCGUAACACGUAUGCAAUCUGCCCUCAACAGGAGGAUAGCUCCCCGAAAGGGGAAUUAAGACUCCAUAAGAUCAUUUUAUGGCAUCAUGAGAUGAUUAAACUACCAGGGGGUUNAGGAUGAGCAUGCGCAUGAUUAGUUAGUUGGCGGGGUAACGGCCCACCAAGACGAUGAUCAUUAGGGGAACUGA